rnacentral:lncRNA from 1 species
CUGUUCCCUAAAAGCGAUGAGAACACAGGUCAAAAAUGUCAAAAUUAACUUUCUCAGAACUCUGGAAAUUAAUCAAAGGCUUGUGAUGAUCCAAGGAGUGUUUAUUCAAGAAAACCAGUUGAAUGUUGGUAAGAACUAUGAUCUUUGUGACAGUUUAAUUUGCCCUAUUCCCACCCCUUCUCUGUAACUGUAGUAGUCUUGAAAACCAAGUCUGGGGCUCCCAGUAGCUAUGAAAGCUAGCAGCCUAUCAGCUUCUGGCGGGAGAAGAUGGCCUUGGGGUUCUUCAAAAGUCACACUUCCAGAGAAUUGUCAUGAUUUGAUCUGUUUGGCAGCUCCCCUGUCCCCACACAAGAUGGACAUGGACACAGAAGAACUAGACUUGGCCAGGAAGUAUAAUCAGCACCCAAGAUCCAAAGAGCUUAAGUGUUACAAAAUGAUACUCACCAGAGGGACCCAGACAAGAGUUCCUGUUUUAGUUGGCUUCUCUUCAUUGGAAGAAACAGAUUCACUCAAGUGACUUCAAGAAGAAUAGAGUUUAUUAUGAGGAUGCAGGUAAAAGAGCAUUUGUGGGGCCGGGCUCGGUGUCUCACACCUGUAAUCCCAGCACUUUGGGAGGCCAAGGCAGGUGGAUCACAAGGUCAGGAGUUCAAGACC